rnacentral:rRNA from 1 species
UGGGGAAUAUUGGACAAUGGGCGCAAGCCUGAUCCAGCCAUGCCGCGUGUGUGAAGAAGGCCUUAUGGUUGUAAAGCACUUUAAGCGAGGAGGAGGCUACUUUAGUUAAUACCUAGAGAUAGUGGACGUUACUCGCAGAAUAAGCACCGGCUAACUCUGUGCCAGCAGCCGCGGUAAUACAGAGGGUGCGAGCGUUAAUCGGAUUUACUGGGCGUAAAGCGUGCGUAGGCGGCUAAUUGAGUCGGAUGUGAAAUCCCCGAGCUUAACUUGGGAAUUGCAUUCGAUACUGGUUAGCUAGGGUGUGGGAGAGGAUGGUAGAAUUCCAGGUGUAGCGGUGAAAUGCGUAGAGAUCUGGAGGAAUACCGAUGGCGAAGGCAGCCAUCUGGCCUAACACUGACGCUGAGGUACGAAAGCAUGGGGAGCAAACAGG